GAUUCUGGCUCAGAACGAACGCUGGCGGCAGGCCUAACACAUGCAAGUCGAGCGCGCCCUUCGGGGUGAGCGGCGGACGGGUUAGUAACGCGUGGGAACGUACCCUUUGGUAGGGAAUAGCCACUGGAAACGGUGAGUAAUACCCUAUGAGCCCUUCGGGGGAAAGAUUUAUCGCCAAAGGAUCGGCCCGCGUUAGAUUAGGUAGUUGGUGGGGUAAUGGCCUACCAAGCCUACGAUCUAUAGCUGGUUUUAGAGGAUGAUCAGCAACACUGGGACUGAGACACGGCCCAGACUCCUACGGGAGGCAGCAGUGGGGAAUCUUGGACAAUGGGGGCAACCCUGAUCCCAGCCAUGCCGCGUGAGUGAAGAAGGCCUUAGGGUCGUAAAGCUCUUUCGCCUGUGAAGAUAAUGACGGUAGCAGGUAAAGAAACCCCGGCUAACUCCGUGCCAGCAGCCGC
rnacentral:rRNA from 1 species